UGGCGGCGUACACAUGUCGUUUGAUGGCUGAACGAAACUAGCAAGUUUCAACCGAGUUUCUGAUUCUGUAAACGUCUAAUGUGGAUGUCUCAGUGGUUAAUUGCAGCCAAAAAUUUAUACAGAUCACCAUUCGUCUACAUAAUUGAAUGAAGUUUUGAAAACGCUUCGUUGAAAGGAAAGUGAUCGAUUCCUGGAGCAUGAAUAUUUUCGAUGUGUUGUGCUUGUAACUCCACAAUCUUUGAACCAGGAGCUGUUCCUUAGCCGUCACUGUUAUCACCUUUGAUCUACAUCCUUCACUAAUGCCAGACUUAUCUUGAAAUAUUAAGAGAUACCUCUUUUAUUGUCAGUUCUCGCACUAUUUCAUUUAUGCACCUAUAGUAAAACUAAAAACUAAAAACAGUAAUUAAGAACAAAUAAAGGAAAUUCAUUGCUAAGAACGUUUCAAGUAAAGCCCUUAUUUUUAAAUUUGAAAGAUUGCUGAGAACAACUCUCUGCAAUGCCUCUCUGUUGAACCCUUUACAACAGACCUGCAUCAUGCUUUCGUUUUGAUUAUGGUCAGUCCCAGUUCAAACAUCAAGGCAGUACAUGUCUUUCUACAUAAUUAAUUUGUGUUUCGAUUUACUUUUUUCUAUCCCUUGAGUGGCCCUUAAAUAUGGCCUGUUCUGAUAGUCGAUUCUCAAAAAAACCAAAAUCUUCAUUGUAUUAACGCGACUAAACAUCCUAUUUACAUUCAAUUUUGACGUUUUGAGCAUUGUUAAUUAAAAUGCAGCCGAUUUUUUUUAAAUGUAUGUCAUUAUGUAUGUAUGUCAUUGAGAUAUAUCAUAUUUUU